CCAUGAUGUUAUGAUGUGGAAUACCAAUAGCAAAGUUACAAAACCAUGACGAUCCCUUAUAUGCUCUCUUAACAAAAUCUCAGCACAAAACUGAGUUGUAUCACACUGCAGUUGCUCCACAUCUGUGUUGUGGAGCCUUCUCCCUGGCACAGCUGUAGCUGAGUUGGCCCUACACCUGAGUUCUGACUGUUUCUUAUAUCUACCUAUAUUCAUUCUUUCAGUACCUCAUUGCUCAUAGUCUCUUGGCUUGCUGUACACACAUCACUCCCUGAACUUCUGCUGUGCCAUUUCUUCCGCUGCCUUUGUGUUGUUUAUAUACAACACCCUCAUUUACAUUCCAUGUAUCCCAGUGUAACAUUUGUUUUUCAAAUCUUUACAGGAAUUUAGUAUAACUGGGGUAAAAUUGCGUAUAUUUGAGUUAAUGUUUGGGGGUUACAUUAAAUGUAAAUUCCAAAUUAUCUUGAUCACCUGCCUAGGGAAAUAACCAGGAAAAGAGAGAAUCUGGCACCAGAAGCACAAGAUGUCCACACCAUGCCAGCAACAUCUUUCUCAGUGAAAUAGCCAAGUGCCAGGAGACACUUCUCUCCUUUUCUUCCAAGGCUUGCCUGCUGUGCUUUGGAAUGCUUGAGAGAAAGCAUGUAAGCAUUUGCACCUGAAGACUGUGCUUCUGUGUCUUGGAGUGAGACACAGAAGCCUGACAACUCUCACAAUGUAAUAUUUUCAGUACUAAAAUAUCACUUCAGAUUGUUUUGAAAAAAAAUAUGAAAAUGGCAAUUAGGUUUCAAUAAGAUUAAAGUCUCUAUAAGGAACUAUUACAAAAUGUUAUCUGGCUAAAUGCAGUACAUUAUGAGGUAGAAAAAGGGGUACUCCAAUUGAUAAAAAAAGAAAAAUCACUUUAAAAAGGCAUUACUAAUUAUGGUGACCAGAACUGUUUGUAGAAGAGGUGUCUGUCAGGGCCCUGAGGGCACUAUUGGUCCAUGACGUUCCUGGCCAGCCUCCCAGUGAGCCUUCCUAACACACGCCCAUGGGCUCAGAACCCCAUUUCAGCUCAGCCUGCAGCAAAAGUAUUACUCUAAGUCCCACAGACUGAAAAAAAAUCAAUGCUGUCUGUUUGAAAGAGAGAUAUCAGCGCUGUUAUGCAGACUCAAUGCAGACUCAGGAUAAACACCUGUUGAGAAGGACGCAUGGUAAGUGUGUGUAAUGGAGAACAUCAACAACAACAAAGAUGCUAUACAGAAAUCCAUAGAACUGUGUUUUCCUAUAAUGGGUAGCCCUCAAGUAAAAGGUCCCUUAGCUGGAUUUUCAAAAACACAUUAGAAACACUUAGAAGUCAUUCCUGGUCUGAGUAAAUGGGUAAACUGUGAUUAAUAAAUGGUGUCAAUUAUGGACAAGAUUAUUGUGUGGUGUAAAUGAGGACUUGACCUUUCCUUUUAGUAAUGAGCUGCUGUUUUGCAACAAUAAAAUAAAUAGAGUUUUGCAGACGGCAAUAUGGCUUCCUCUUGUGGAAGUGAUAAUGUAGAAAGUCUUGUACCAACUAUGUACAUUACUUUCUUUUUCUUUUUCCAUAAAAAGGAAUUUCUUUUUAUGUGGACACUCCAAAACAUUUUCUUUUCUGGAAAGAAAGAAGAAGCGAUAACAUUGCUCUAAACAUGAAAGCCUGGUCCGACUUAAAAACUCUCAGAAACUCACAGUUGCAGCUUCAGCAACAAUCCUAAUAUUCAUGGUUUACUCUGCAGGGCCCUCCAAGUGAACGUUUUGCCAGUGAUAGGAAAGGCAACCAGAAUGUUGGGAAAGUUGUGAUGAACGCCCUAGACAAGGAGAAUGCAGGCAAGGAAGGGGCUUUCACUCAGACUGUCAGACAACAGUAUGACCAUUUAUAAAGUGGAAAGUAAUUUGAAAAUGAAUGACUUACUGCGUUAUACAUUCAGUCUUCAAAUAAAACCAUCUGUCUCUU
ensembl:lncRNA